UACAAGAGAAAUCAAAUGAAUAUGUUUAGUUUCUAAACUUUUCUUCAUUUUUAAAUAGAACUGCUUACUUAGACGCCGAUAUAUUUCUUUACAUGAAUCGGCACUAUGCUCUUAUGCUUUUAGUUAUACAUAUAUUUUUUUGUUGGUCAGGUUUUCAAGUUUCAACCAUUCUUACUUUGAAAUGAUUCUUUAGUUAGUUAUAAAUAUAGAAAAUUUGAUGCCUGGGAUACAUAUUUUUUAUGGUACAUAGUGUCAGUUAAGGGAUCUCUUAUUUUUCUAGGUGUGCUACAUAGGUACAUGUAGAUUUACUUUGUUCCAGUGCCUGCUUUUGAUCACAGGAAACUAAAAAGACAAAAGAUACUUCACAUGCAACAUCUUAUACUAUUUGAAGUUAUUUUGCAGACAUCGUUAGAUAUUUUUCUUCGCUGUUCUGUUUAGCUAAAUAACCAAUUAAAUGAUUUAAUAUACUUUUUUGUUUUUUGAACUGGGUAAAGAAAGUACGCUGCACUUUCUUAUAGUGAUCUAUUGGCUGGCACUGCAAAAAAAAUUAUCUUCUAGAGCGACAUAGAAUGUGAUAUGCUUCUUUAACUGUACAUGUUGUCUAUAUUUUGCCUCUUUAACAUCCUCUUUUUCUAUCGAUACUCAGAUGGUUCAGCUUCAAAAGCACCAAAAAUUUAUGUCAAUACAUGGGUGAGUGGAGAUACUGCAUCACUUCUUAUGUCUUGCCUACGUUUGAAGUAUUGGAGUUCUUAAAUUCUUGAUGAAGAGGAUUUUGGAGGAAGCUAUGGUUGGCUUCGGACUGGAAGGACAUGUCUAGCAGCGGCUAUUUAUCGGAGAGGCUAUCGUUCCUUUAUGGUCAUAAGACAGGCUUCUCUUUGGAAGUGGAAAUGGAAGCGGCACAUGAAGGCUUGCUCCUGACCUUGCAAGUGCCCCACGAAGCCGGUAAUCCGGAAGAUUAAAUCUCUUUAUUCUUUCAAAAGAAAUCUACAUACGAAGUUCCAUCCAUUAUUUACCAUAUAGCAAUUUGUUUCCU